AGUUAAUUAAGCUUUAGAAAGCGAGUACCUUGAAAGUACUAGAAGAUAGUUAAAUUCUAUCAUUAACUU
rnacentral:tRNA from 1 species